ensembl:lncRNA
AUGGAAAGUUAUAAAGAAGUUCGUCAUAAAGCAGCAGUAAGGACUUCACUGUUAAGCUUGUUUUCCCAUUUUCUGUCUGGAAGUUGGAGGGAUUUGAAACUCAUCCAGGGAUUUGAAACUUCAGCAGUUUCUCUUCUUAUAUACUCGAACCAGGCAAAGGAAAUUUUCAGGCUUACUUUUUUCUUCCCAAAUCUCUUUAAGAAAGAACACUCGCAAUAUCGAAUCAAGGACAUAUUGUCAAACGGAAUCAUUUCAGGAUAAGAUCACCUUGAAAGAAGCAGUAUUCUUGUGGAGAAGUUGUACCUGGAGGGGAAGAACAUCCAGGCUUUCCCAGAAUUUCAGCCCGUGCUGACAAGCUGCGAAUUUGGGGUGUGAACUUUUUAUGUGGUGAAGGCCAGCCUGGAAGUAUGAUGCUUUCACUGGCAGACUGAGCCAGCUCCUUAACAGUCAGGAGGUAGACCUUCCUUCAAAAACACAUGAAUUUUGGUGUGGUCCUUGUUUUUAUGUUACUGAUUUCUAGGCUAGCUUACACAGCUGUUUAUAACAGUUCUGUUCAUCAAUGUUUUGUUUACUUAUUGCAUAUAAGCUUUUUAUAUAUGUGUUCCUAAAAGGAUUUUAGUGAGGUGCUAAGUUAGAGACAUGCUAUAUCUAGACUUCUACCUUCAGCUUAUCUGACUUGCCAGUAGAGUUGAGAAACUUAUCUAAUAUUUAAUGGGUGCCAGGUUUAAAAUGGAAGGCGGAUUUGAGAAAAGGCUGAAAAAAUAUUUAUAGUGCAGCCAAAGCAAUUAGAGAAGCCAGCAGAGACUGUAUUUCUCCUCUUAUUCAGGAAGAAUUUACUGCUUCUCCUUUGUCUAUCACUUUCGAAGAACUAUCGGAAGAAUAAUAUACUAAAAUAGUCACCUCUCAGUAAAAAUGCAGGAGGCAAAGGAACUAAAAUGGGUGGGGAUUGGCCAAAUAACUGUUAUUGUCACAAUUCUACUGUGCGCUUCUAAAAAAUGCGUUUAAAGAACAUGGCCUGUGAAAGAAUUGGAAUGGAGUGAAUAAUGGAAAAAUAUUCAGAAAUAUGCUAUUCAGAACAUUUAGUGUAUUCAUAAAUUAUUCACCCCCACAGAAGUGCAGGUGCCUCAGGAUUUUUGUGUGUAAUGUGACAUCCUCAGCUGGCGUACGCUGGCACUGCUGCAUUUGUUUUCAUGGAGGGAUGCCAGUUUACAAAAAUCUGCCCCACGUUAUUCCUUUGUUUUGUACUCUUCUUAUUUUCCCAAACAUUCAAAUACAUGUAACUCUACACAGGAAACUAUGCUGAGACUGGAGAUGAACCUUGGGGCUCUAUGAUAGUACAAUCUCUUUAAGCUUUACUUUCACAGUUUCCACGAUAACAUCGGUUCUUUUUGGUAUAUGCUGAUAGCAUUGCUGCUCACAGCUACCUGCACGUUCUUUCUCUCACUCUCCUGUAGCUGUUCGGUGUGUGUAUGUUAAAUGCUCAAGUUCCAUUACCCACCUAUCUCCAGUUGUUAUCAAGUUAAUUUAUGGAUGAAUGUAUUUAGUUUUGUAUGUAUUUUCAAAACCAAGAGUAAACAGAAUUGUUUUUCCUUAUUUAAAAUCCCAUUAUAGCAGCUGCACUAUAAAGUGUAUUUUUUCUACUGUUAAAUAUUUUAUCUUGACCACAGUUUGCAUAUCAGCAAACUUGUAGCAGUAUGUUGACUGUUAUCUUCUGUGUACCAAAGCACAAGAUAGUUUGGAAUUAUUAAAUAACAUUGCUUCUCCGUUAUCCUUUGAGGGCUGAUACUCUUUUAUUCUAAGUAGAUAAAAGAUAAACAUAAAUUAUAGCAAAUCAAACUGCAGGAUGAUAAAUAUUGGUGGAAGCCUGGAUAAUAAUAUAACAAAAAUAAGAUGAAAUCCACCCUUUCCCACUUGCAUCCAUCUUCUAUAUUUGUUUUUGCAGAUCCAGCUAUUGUAAAGGAAGACAAUGGCUGUGGCAGUGCUUUUGCAAGGCCAUUAUACAUUUCUGAAUGACACAGUCAUCAUUACUCUGAGUCUUAUUUGCUCAAGGUUUUAUAAAUAUAGAUUGGUGUAUGGUUUACGUGGGAAAAGUAUCAAAUCUAUGACACAUAUGUAACUCAAGUCAGCACUAUUUCAAACCUUUUUUGAGAUUCAGUAGCCUUUUCUUUAUAAGAUUUCCAGGAUGGUUUCUGUGGCAAACAGUUGUGACCAUGUGUUAUCUAUGUAUUCCCCACGUUUUCAUUAGCAUGACUGACAGUUAUAGUGUCUGUAAUUCUUCAAGUGAAAAGAAGGCAUUCCCAGGCACUACUGAAAUUGAGAUUUCAUAGGAUCAGAGAAGAAAAAAAAUGAUGGAUUUGUAUCUAGUAUUAUACCAUGGCAUAGAUUUUUAUCCAAGAACAAGUUUUCAUUGACUUGUGAUCAUUACUCAAAUGAACUACUCAGAUGAAAACCAUUUUUAAUUUGGAAAAUAGUGUAUAUCUAUUUAAUAGAAUAGUAGGUACAGAUACAAAUAGGAAAUAGUUUUAGAUCUAAAGGCUGAAGUAGUUAUAACAGAUGGGAAGUCUUGAGGGAGUUAGGACUAGGAUAGAAAAGUCCUUAUGGCACAGAAUCAGGGAAAAAAUAGAAUAAAUUGAGCAUAAGAAAAGGGUGUGAUGAGGAU